rnacentral:tRNA from 1 species
UUUUAGAUAAUUUAAAAAAAAUAUAGCCUUGAAGAUGCUAAAAUGAUUAACCUCUCUAAAUA